GAUGAAGAACGCAGCGAAAUGCGAUAAGUAGUGUGAAUUGCAGAAUUCAGUGAAUCAUCGAAUCUUUGAACGCACAUUGCGCCCCUUGGUAUUACAUGGGGCAUGCCUGUUAGAGCGUCAUUUGUACCUUCAAGCUUUGCUUGGUGUUGGGUGUUUGUCUCGCCUUUGCGUGUAGACUCGCCUUAAAAUAAUUGGCAGCCGGCGUAUUGAUUUCGGAGCGCAGUACAUCUCGCGCUUUGCACUCAUAACGACAGCGUCCAAAAGUACAUUUUACACUCUUGACCUCGGAUCAGGUAGGGAUACCCGCUGAACUUAAGCAUAUCAAUAAGCGGAGGA
rnacentral:misc_RNA from 1 species